AGUGAACGCUGGCGGUAGGCCUAACACAUGCAAGUCGAACGGCAGCACAGGAGAGCUUGCUCUCUGGGUGGCGAGUGGCGGACGGGUGAGGAAUACAUCGGAAUCUACUCUGUCGUGGGGGAUAACGUAGGGAAACUUACGCUAAUACCGCAUACGACCUACGGGUGAAAGCAGGGGAUCUUCGGACCUUGCGCGAUUGAAUGAGCCGAUGUCGGAUUAGCUAGUUGGCGGGGUAAAGGCCCACCAAGGCGACGAUCCGUAGCUGGUCUGAGAGGAUGGUCAGCCACACUGGAACUGAGACACGGUCCAGACACCGACGGGAGGCAGCAGUGGGGAAUAUUGGACAAUGGGCGCAAGCCUGAUCCAGCCAUACCGCGUGGGUGAAGAAGGCCUUCGGGUUGUAAGGCCCUUUUGUUGGGAAAGAAAUCCAGCUGGCUAAUACCCGGUUGGGAUGACGGUACCCAAAGAAUAAGCACCGGCUAACUUCGUGCCAGCAGCCGCAGUAA
rnacentral:rRNA from 1 species